rfam:Stegodyphus mimosarum contig28703, whole genome shotgun sequence.
GCCUUCGUGGUGUAGUGGUCAGCACGCUCGGCGCGUAUUCGAGAGGUCCGUGGUUCGAGUCCCGGCGAAGACA